GGACUACACGGGUAUCUAAUCCCGUUCGCUCCCCCAGCUUUCGCGCCUCAGCGUCAAGAUUGCCCCAGGAGACCGCCUUCGCCACUGGUGUUCCUACCGAUAUCUACGCAUUUCACCGCUACACCGGUAAUUCCAUCUCCCCCUAGCAACUUCAAGACAAACAGUAUCCACCGACCCUCCGGGGUUGAGCCCCGGGCUUUCACAGCGGACUUGUCCACCCGCCUACGCGCGCUUUACGCCCAGUAACUUCGGACAACGCUCGCCCCCUCCGUAUUACCGCGGCUGCUGGCAC
rnacentral:rRNA from 1 species